UCAAACGCACCUACGUGUUUGCGAUCAGC
rnacentral:sRNA from 1 species